GGGGGUGUCCUGGCUUCGACGGGGGUAGUGAGAUGACUUGGUGCAUGCCGAGGGGGCAGCUUUCCUCGUAAAUCCAGCAGCAAACUCAUAGUUGCCAACGACGACAACUACGCUCUCGCCGCUUAAGGCGUAAGCCCCGAACCCACUUGUGCUCAUGCUUGUCGGUGUAGGGUCAUUAUCAUGAGAUCGCCGAACGCUGCCGCCUGGCGGUUCUAGGCUAAAUCAAUCAGGCUGGUUUCGCGGUGCGCUUUGCCCACCGUGCUUGUCGCGAAACGAGAUCGAACGGUGAGCUAAGCAUGUAGAUCUGGGCAUUAAACAUCCUCGGACGCGGGUUCGACUCCCGCCACCUCCACCA
rfam:Rhodanobacter fulvus Jip2 contig044, whole genome shotgun sequence.